GACGAACGCUGGCGGCGUGCUUAACACAUGCAAGUCGAACGGAAAGGCCCUGCUUUUGUGGGGUGCUCGAGUGGCGAACGGGUGAGUAACACGUGAGUAACCUGCCCUUGACUUUGGGAUAACUUCAGGAAACUGGGGCUAAUACCGGAUAGGAGCUCCUGCUGCAUGGUGGGGGUUGGAAAGCUUCGGCGGUUGGGGAUGGACUCGCGGCUUAUCAGCUUGUUGGUGGGGUAGUGGCUUACCAAGGCUUUGACGGGUAGCCGGCCUGAGAGGGUGACCGGCCGCAUUGGGACUGAGGUACGGCCCAGACUCCUACGGGAGGCAGCAGUGGGGAAUAUUGCACAAUGGGCGGCAGCCUGAUGCAGCAACGCCGCGUGCGGGAUGACGGCCUUCGGGUUGUAAACCGCUUUCGCCUGUGCCGAAGCGUGAGUGACGGUAAUGGGUAAAGAAGCACCGGCUAACUACGUG
rnacentral:rRNA from 1 species